rnacentral:rRNA from 1 species
UACGAAGGGUGCAAACGUUGCUCGGAAUCAUUGGGCGUAAAGCGCACGUAGGCGGCAUUCUAAGUCGGAUGUGAAAUCCCUCGGCUCAACCGAGGACGUGCAUCCGAAACUGGAACGCUCGAGUAUGGAAGAGGGUCGCGGAAUUCUCGGUGUAGAGGUGAAAUUCGUAGAUAUCGAGAGGAACACCUGCGGCGAAGGCGGGUUGCUGGGCUGACACUGACGCUGAGGCGCGAAAGCUAGGGGAGCGAACGGG